AUUCUAUUUAUUUUGUAUUAUCAUUUGGUUGGUUGGUACUGGAGGAUUGGAAGCAUUUGUUAUAUAAAAAAAUUAUAGGUCCUGAUGGAGUAGAGUCAGACUGGAUUGGGCUUUUCAGAAUCAAAGCACAAGAUCGUUCUUCAGUUUCUUUGCACAAACGCAGCAAAAAGUGCAGUUAGUGUAGGAUCCUCAGUGCUGUACGGAACCUAGCAGGCCCGUUAUUGCUAAUGCAAGCCAGCGAUUAACUUUUUUUGACCUUUGCCCUAAGAGCCGCAGAGCUUCGAGAGCAAGGUAUUCGAUAACCACCAGCAGACCAAUGAAUGAUGCUGAUGGAACCAGCUACUAAUUUGUUUAUUAGGCGACGCCUUUUCGUUCCAAAAACAUGUAUUUACAAUUAAUACCGCUCAUAGUGCAAGAUGCACACACACUUCCCCAACAGAUAAACGUUGCAUGCUCGCACAAAUAUUAGGCCAAAUGCAGAGUUUGCUACAGCCACAUAUUAAAAUUGCAACACGAAUGUAAACCAAACGUCCCAUUGCAUGGGCGAAUGAAGCCUGCUUUCCAAAUGAACAGGAUUCUAAUGUAAAUACUAUGUGGCUGCCAUUCUAAAAUAGAAUGUUUAAGGUUUUAGAAAGAACAGGAAAGGUUCAGCAGGAAAAAAAAACGUCUGUUUUGUGUGUAUGUAGUGUUUAUUAACUACCCAUACGUAAGGAGAAAGGUGCGCUGUGUGUUCUCUGUCAUCCUUUGAGUGACUCUUGUGUCUUUGUGCUGGUUGUGUUUUUAAUUACUUUUUUUUGUGUGUGUAAAAGGGCUGAAACAACCAUUUUGUAUUUAUCCUUAAUGUGGUCCAGCAGUCUUCCCUCAUAAUGUCUCUUGAUGUGCACAUUUUUCCGUGAUUCCUAUACAGUCCCUUGACUUGUUGAAAUCAACUUUGGUGGAUGUAUCCGAUUUGAAGUCCUGGUAAUGACCUUGCUGCUUUAUUAAGGAAAUAACCUGAGCUUUAAUUAGCACCGUCUGUGAUUGCAGCAUUAUCCUCGGUGGGGCUGCCAGCUCAAGAGGGCUUUUGUGAAAGGCAGGUGUAAGUGGCUCAGUGAGCUGGCAUGUGUACACGUUAUGCUUGGCUGAGCCAGCAUCCUGACAGCCUUUUAAUGAGGGUUUGGAUCUCAUGCUUUCUGUCUGCACCGUUUGCUGGAAGAUAAUCCUACUUUUCUGGGGUUUGAGUGUAGGGAUACAGACAGUGUAUGGGAAGGCUAGACUCCAGUUCCUGGUGAGAUUGUUGUAGUGUGGCGGGCACAAAACUGUGAAUGUAGUCAACCGCUUGACUAUGAAGCUCCAGUGGGUUAAAAGCCAGUUGGUCACCUCUAUUGUUGCCUUCAUUGUCUUAUCAGACCGUUGGCACUGUAUUCCAGUGCAUUAUCCCUUCAAUGCUAGCAAUGAUUAAUCGCCUUCAUUGCGUGUUAUUAAGCAAAAUAGAGAAGUGACUUCUUCCUUACUUGUAACUGAAGAAGAACUGCCUUGGUUUUAGUGAAGGUGUCGAGAUUAAUUUUUCUCCCAAGUUCAUCAGAAGAUGGGUGAUGUGAUGUGAGUUUCAGCUCAGGCGUGUUCGGCAGUACGUUAACCAGCAUUUAUGAAUAAUUUACCAGCAUGCCCAGUCCCCCAGAGACACCACCAGAUACCUUUUUGUUUUCUUUUUAAAUUUAGGAUUGUAUGAUGUGUAUGAGAAAGUAUAAAACCAAUAAAAUCACAAAGUUUAUUUUAAAUUUA